AACGAACGCUGGCGGCAGGCUUAACACAUGCAAGUCGAGCGCCCCGCAAGGGGAGCGGCAGACGGGUGAGUAACGCGGGGGAAUCUACCCAUCUCUACGGAAUAACGCAUGGAAACGUGUGCUAAUACCGUAUACUUCCUUCGGGAGAACGAUUUAUCGGGGAUGGAUGAGACUGCGUUGCAUUAGCUAGUUGGUGGGGUAAAGGCCUACCAAGGCGACAAUCCAUAGCUGGUCGGAGAGGAUGAUCAGCGACACUCGGACGGAGACACGGACCAGACUCCUACGGGAGGCAGCAGUGGGGAAUAUUGGACAAUGGGCGCAAGCCUGAUCCAGCCAUGCCGCGUGAGUGAUGAAGGCCCUAGGGUUGUAAAGCUCUUUCACCGGUGAAGAUAAUGACGGUAACCGGAGAAGAAGCCCCGGCUAACUUCGUGCCAGCAGCCGCCGUAAAAC
rnacentral:rRNA from 1 species